CGUAAAACCUAAACCUAAACCUAAAACGUAAAUGUAUUCUCAAAUCCCUAAACCUACAACUGGAGUCGCAAACGCCAACAGGGAGAAUCUUUCGGCGAUUUCACAACCCGCCUGGGCUUUGACAAACUGAAAGAGACAGUUGAGAAGUGGGAGGGCAUAACAAAGGCACCGGCACGAUUUAAUCUAAAGCUUUUUGCUGACAAAGACACGUAUGAAGCCAUGGAUGAACUUGCAAAGUUGCAGAACAAGACUGCUCACCAGCUGGCCAUGGAAGUCAUCCGCAACUGAAAUGAAAGUGUUUCUCUUGCCUUGCUUCAAUCUGAGGCAGCUCAUAUGAGGCCAGAGAAUGGUUCUUGGUUCACCAUUGCUGAAUGGUCUUGUAACUCUUCACCAUUAGUAAUUGCUUCAAUCUGAGGCAGCUCAUAUGUGAUUGUAAUUGAAUGAAUGAAUGAUUGUAAUUGAAUGAAUGAAUGAUUAUGCA